GUGGGGAAUCUUGCGCAAUGGGCGAAAGCCUGACGCAGCCAUGCCGCGUAAAUGAUGAAGGUCUUAGGAUUGUAAAAUUCUUUCACCGGGGACGAUAAUGACGGUACCCGGAGAAGAAGCUCCGGCUAACUUCGUGCCAGCAGCCGCGGUAAUACGAAGGGGGCUAGCGUUGCUCGGAAUUACUGGGCGUAAAGGGCGAGUAGGCGGACAGCUUAGUCAGAGGUGAAAGCCCAGGGCUCAACCUUGGAAUUGCCUUUGAUACUGGCUGUCUUGAGUUUGGGAGAGGUGAGUGGAACUCCGAGUGUAGAGGUGAAAUUCGUAGAUAUUCGGAAGAACACCAGUGGCGAAGGCGACUCACUGGCCCAAUACUGACGCUGAGGCGCGAAAGCGUGGGGAGCAAACAGGAUUAGAAACCCUUGUAGUCC
rnacentral:rRNA from 1 species